rnacentral:lncRNA from 1 species
UCAUCAUGUCUACUACUGGUGGUCAUCAUGAAGUACUGCCAAGGUAUAGUAUAGACAUUAGUUGUUUGGAUUACGACGUUGUUAAGCACGGCAAUGAUACAGUGAACAAUGUAUUUAUCGAAUCUGAAGCAAAUAUUGAUAUAUACAUGCAUAUUGCUAAACAAUGGAUGAAACCUUCAGAUACUAGUUAUGGAUCACCAAUUCUGCAUGGACGAGUAGAAGCUAAUGAACCUGUUCUGAUAUCCCAAAAGAAAGUCCGGUACGCAGACUUGCUGCUACCUGGCGUAUCACAGUAUCUUCUUCGUGAUGGUGAUCUUAAGCCUUAUACUGAGGUUGAACAAAUUUGUGCAGACCAAUUGUCUAGUCUUAAGAAAAAUAUAUCAAUGAUUUGUAAGGAAACUGCACAAGGUAUUGCAGAAGAAAAACCAAGAUGUAUUUUAAUUGUCAUAGUAUUAAAACUUCUAACAACAAUAUUCUGCGCUGAACAACACGAAUUUAAAGAUGAAACUGGGGAUUUGUAUAUGAACGAGCUAGAGUAUAUUAUUGAGGAACCUGAUGAUUUAUUCAUGGUGGACCAAGAGUUUAUUCAGCAACUCGCGGAUAUAUCUAUGGAAGAAGCCAAUAACAACGAUCUUAGGCAAAAACCUGCUGCACCUGGGCUGUUUUCUGUUGAAGUGUUGAUGACCGAGACCAAGGAAACUAGUUGAAGAUGAGUAAUAAUAGUAUAAUACUACUUAAUAAGUUGAGUAUGUAUAGAGUUGUUGUGGUAUUUUUCCUUUGUUUUUUUUUCUUUUAACAUUAAUUGCACAGAGAUGUUUAGUGUCGUGUCACUCAAUUUAAGUUGAUAUUAAUUUGAGUAUAGUCACUUAACUCAGUUAUUUAUCCAUCUUGGAGAUCGAAGACAAACACUCUCACAUGCAUCUAUUUUCAAACAGAUUAUCUUCAAGAUGCGACAAAUAAGUGAUUAAACUCAAAUAAAACUAAAAAGGUGACGAAACGUAAACUCAAAUAGUAUUUAUUAGUUUGAUUGUGUUUGUUACAUAUAAUGAGUUGUGUUAUGUUUUCUUGACAUUAUAUUGCAUUCUUGUUUGCGUAGUUUUGCAGUCAAUUUUUAUAUAUCACGUCUAAUACAGUUAUAACGUGCAGACCUUUCAAUCAAUCAUACUCGGUAUUUCCUAUGUUUGAUCUUGUUCUUGGGGCUGAACCAGCUGCUUGAUAUACUUGGAUCAAUUAUUGCGUGAUCUCUCUGGAUCACAAGUACAAAUCAGUAAUAAUGCUGUCAAGGUUGUUGUUACUGUUAGUGUAAAACUACGUAUAGAGGGUUAUGCCUGAAUAGCAAAUAAAUAUUGGAUCAAAAUCAUGUGGCCAUGUCAGAGUACAAAUUUCAAUCAAAAAUUUCUUAGAUGGAGUUUGGUUUUGUUUUGUUAUUAAUACAAUUAUUUCUUUAAUCAGCAGGGAUUAAACUCUCCAAUGUUGUACUAACUGCUUGACAGAUAUGCCUUCCCCUGUUAGGCGCAAUGCUCAUUACCUCUGGACUAUAUAGCACGACCAUGUCUUCCUCUCAGGCGCUCUUGGAUCUGCUGUUGAGCUAUCAUUUGGGUCAGCACCGUAGCACUACUAGCUCGAUUAGUAAGGCCACACAGGGAUCCCAAUACAAUACAAACCAAUAAUCCUACAGAAAAUACAAAGGCCAACAUAUAUGUUUGUUGUUGGGGUACUGCAUACAACAUACAUGUGGCACCAUCUCUACCGUCCAUCAUGGUGCCACAUGUCCAUUAUGAUGCCACGUGUCAUCAUCAAUGGACUCUCUCUUGAUGACACAAGUUACAAAGUUAAAGCCAAUUACUACAAAGAUAUUCUCUCAUCAUUACCUCAUUAAAUGCUAGGAAUGGAGUUACAUUAUAAGCCUAUAAAUAUGAAGGCAAAUCACUCAUUCCUCUCAUCUUCUCAUAGUCUAAUGCUCUCAACACUAUCUUAUGGUGAGGUCUCAUGAUCAAUGACCUCCCCAAUCUCUCAUGAUGAGACCUCACCUCUCAGGUCUCAUCUCUCUUGAGCUCUCCUCAUAAUCGAGCUCUCAUUUUGUAUCACCACCACUAGUAUAAUGAAGUUCUUUCUCUCUCUCCGUGGAUGUAGGCACAAUUGCCGAACCACGUAUACAAUGGUGUUCAUGUCUUUACUUUAUUUCUUAUCGUGUCAUUAUAUAUUUACAUUAUUCAUUAAUGUAUUGACCAACCUCACAAAUAUGGUCAAUACAUUUGGCGCCGACUAUAGGGACUUGAGAUUUUCUCAAGCGAAUUCCACCCACCAACCCCACCAUACACCAUUGUUUCAUAAGUGGUGACUUCAAGAAAUUCAUUGAAUUUGAAAUGAUAGAAUUGCAACUCACAGUUGGGGGCUUGGAGCAAAUUGUCUACACAAUUACUAUGCUCGGCAGAAGCAAGAUAAGUAUCACUUUAAUAUUUUUUGGUCAUUGAAAUGAGGCACCGAGCUACCAAAGAGCGACCUCAUCAUCUAUUGUUUAUUCUACACAGUUUUACCCAUAUAUUUAUCUGGUAAUAUAUUUUCAUGAACAUUUGAUCAAUCACAUGAUUACAAAUAUCAGUUUACAUUCUCAUACAUUAUAUUGAUAUGUUUAAUUAUCAAUUCAACAUGUGGCCAUGAUUCAACAACUUAUUUAAGAUACAUUUUUCAUGCCACAUUAAUUCUCAUGGGUAUUUACAGAAAAACCAUCGAAUGGAUUCAGUUACUGAUUCACCUUUUUUGUCUUCGUCAUAUGGUAUUUCAUGUUCAGGUCUCGCAGAGACCUCCUUACAUAUUCAGGUCUCUAAGCCAACGACCUCCCAGGUCUCGUCGCGACCUCACUUUAAAUUCAGGUCUCUAAUCAUGACUUCGCCAGGUCUCUAAUCGCGACCUCACCAGGUCCCUCAUCACGACCUCACUAGGUCUUUAAUCGCGACCUCUCUAACACUCAGGUCUCAUCGCGACCUCACUUCAUGUUCAGGUCUCUAACUGGGACCUCAUCAGGUCUAUCAACGACCUCUUCAAAUUGCAGGUCUUUCAACAACCCCAAAAAUAUUUAUGCCAUACAGGGGACUAUUCUCACUCUAUCUAAUUUCUUUAACUUAUUAUUGGCACAAUUAGAUAUUAAUGAUAUUUUUUGCGUAGAUCUAUCUAUGCCCAAGUCACAUGAACACGACCUCACUCCCCAUGAGCUAUUUUUGCACAAAUGUGCCACAUUGCAUUCACCGAACUCUUUACCAGUGAAAUGCUCGAUAUCAAAUAUGGCCACCCUUAUUGACUAGUGAGUCACUCAUAUGCGGGACGACCUCAACCACAAUUCUCUAGCCACACGCUUGGUCGAACACAUUCAUUCUCAAAGCAAUGCAGACCCACAAAUGCCACAUGCCCGAGAAUUGUCAAACAGGUCUCCAUGCUGCGACCAUUCACUAGAUCGGGCACCAAAAGGUUUCAAGUAACUCUCAAAACACUUGGUCAGCCAAUGCUCUUUCUCAAAUGAGCUACAUUUGCACUCCAAAGUGCCACAUCUAUCGAAGUGUCCAAACACAAGGCGUCAACGAUAGUACAUACAAAAGUCAUAAGGAAGACGUACAAUUCCAUGUAAGUCUUUUAUUGAAUUUUAUAAUGUUUCGCAUGCUAACAUUAUCAGGUCUAUGCAACUCGAUCACAUAUCAAAAACACGACCACCUUAAAACAUGACCGAGACCAACCACCCACGCAUGCAAGAGGACCCACUUCAGUACGACCUGCUUGCAGCCGUCCAUCCCGUCUACAUGCCUUAUGAACGAGCUACCAGGUCUCCCUGGAACUAACUAGCUCGUUGUACACAAUUCAUGAUCGAGUUGCCAUUACCACAAGGGACCUUCAUCGCAUCCUACAAAUCUCAAUGAUCAAGCUCAUCAAAAUUUGGGGCGGAUCGACUUCGUUAGGGAACCCCACAUUUUAUCUUGGGGGCUAGAUCGGUUCGUUUACUUUUUUUCAGUCCGAACCCUGUUCGACCUAAAAUGAGGGGGCUUAUGUAAGGGUAUUACAUACAACAUACAUGUGGCACCAUCUCUACCGUCCAUCAUGGUGCCACGUGUCAUCAUCAAUGGACUCUCUCUUGAUGACACAAGUUACAAAGUUAAAGCCAAUUACUACAAAGAUAUUCUUUCAUCAUUACCUCAUUAAAUGCUAGGAAUGGAGUUACGCAUUGUAAGCCUAUAAAUAUGAAGGCAAAUCACUCAUUUCUCUCAUCUUCUCAUAGUCUAAUGCUCUCAACACUAUCUCAUGGUGAGGUCUCAUGAUCAAUGACCUCCCCAAUCUCUCAUGAUGAGACCUCACCUCUCAGAUCUCAUCUCUCUUGAGCUCUCCUCAUAAUCGAGCUCCCAUUUUGUAUCACCACCACUACUAUAAUAAAGUUCUUUCUCUCUCUUUGUGGAUGUAGGCACAAUUGCCGAACCACGUAUACAAUGGUGUUCAUGUCUUUACUUUAUUUCUUAUCAUGUCAUUACAUAUUUUUCCAUUAUUUAUUGUUGUACUAGUUGUGGACCCGUGCUACGCACCGAGAUUGGAGAUUUUGCGAGAGAAAUUUUUUAUAAAUUUUAAAUUUAUAUAAUAUUAAAUUUAUCUGUACUAAUUUUUUUUAUUUAUAUAUACAUAUAAUAAAUUAUUAUGUUUGAUUAUAUUUGAUUAAUUUGUGUUUUGAGUGUAUUUAUUGUUUUUAUUUUAUUUUUAUUGAAAUGUUUGUGUUUAUACAUUAUUAGGAGAGUAGAGAAAGUGGGUAGAGAUUUUUGGGGUUUAGUGGAAAAUGGAAAAAAGUGUAGAGAAAUACAAAAUUUAGUUAUAUAACCAAUUAAUAUAAAUUUUCUUUUUCUUUUUUAUUUGUUUUAUGGGAGAAAAUUUGUGGGAGCUUGAUGAUCAUAUAGAAUGCCACAUAGGAAAGAGAGUGUGGGACCGCAUGGGUCUAGCUAUUAUAUAGAUAUAUAGAUAGAUUGACCAACCUCACAAAUAUGGUCAAUACAUUUGUAGUCCCUUUUGCUGCUGAUUUACCCUGUCAGUCAGACACUCAGACUUGAACAUGUCACUCCUAAUUGCUACCAAGGUCCAAGCACCAAUGCAAGGGUAGACAAAUCUGUUACUUCUAGUACUAAAAUUUCUUCAAAUUUUACACGCUUGUGCUUUUGAAUCAUGAAUACAUGUGUUGGCAAAAAGGGAAGAAAGCCUGUAACAAGUCUAGAAGCUUGUAGUGUGACAAAUUUCAUUGGAACUCAAAUUAACUUUUUACCCAUGAGCCGCCAACGGCCAAGGCAUUGGCAUUUACUUCAAUUGCAACAAAGGUGUUUGUUAGAAUGCAGUAAUAUGUAACUAGCGAACAUUCAAAUGGAAUUUCCUCUGUAAUAAGAAUGUCUGUGGACCGUCCAUUGUUCCUGAUUAAAACACCACAAGUCCACAAGUCUGUUGUAUUAUAUAUGAAUUUUAUUUUAUUGUACUGGAUCGUUAUGCUCUACUAUGAUUACUGGAUCGUUAUGCUCUACUAUGAUUACUGUGCAACUGCAAAGCUGGUGUUUCUGACACAUAAACCCAUGCAUUAUUACUCUCCCGCCACACUACUAUACACUUGCAAAAACCCUUCAUCUUUCUCUCUCACUAAUGAACUAAGCUUCGUUCAAAAAUGGUGAGUGUUGAUCAAGUAGUAGGGUUUUUUUUUUUUUUUAUAUAAUAAACCAGAAUUUUUUGUGUAUUUGAGAAUAAAUAUUUUGAGGUGUUGAAUUGAAUUUGAUGUGUAGGGUGAAAUAUAUGGUAAUGAAGCAAGUAGCAAGAACUGGGUUUUAGUAGAUACAAGUCAAAAUUGGUGGCUACCACCUUCUUCAUCAUCAUCAUGUUAUUCACCAAUUUAUAAUCAAGAAAUGGCAUUUUUAGGUUAUGAUGACGAAGAGGUCAAAUGUUGUUACUUUUUCGCAAACCAAACUCUUAUUUCUUAGUUGUUUGUUAUAGAUGAUUAAAAUUUCUCUGCUCCGUAUUAAAAAUUUUACUAUGAAUAUUGGAAAACCAAAAUUUGUUUUUUGGAAAAUUUAUUUUCAAACUUAUUAGUAAUCUCAUUGAAAUAUAUAAACUUAUUUGGAAUGUAUUCAUGUAGGAUGUAUUCAUAGGUACUGAAACAAAUACCAAGAACCGGAAUUUCGAAGAUACAACUCAAAAUCUGGGGCUACCUUCCUCAUCUACAAGUUCACUAAUUGUUGUUCAAGAAUUUAACUCUGCAGUUUACUAUGAGGUGAAGUCCUUCAUCACAAAUCCAACCUUAAUUAGUUUUUUUUUCUCUUUUGGCUUUUCAACAAUAAAUUGGACAACCUAGAAAGCAUGAAUAAAAUUGAUAUCUUUUUUAAAUAUUUUGGAAUUCAAAUGUUGGUCAAAGUCGAAAAACUGAGGUUUUGUAUUCAAAUUCAACUUUUUAGGCUAUGAGUAUAUGACAAACAUUUGGAUUUUGGAGUACCAAAUUAAGUGUACUCAUCAAAAUAUCAUACUCAUUCAUCAGUUUAGAGAGGUUAUCAUUGCAAUGUCAUGGAAAUAUCAACAAGCAUUUAAUUUCAAAGCAACUAAGGUUACUAAAAAAAUUCGUCGCAGUUGUAAAGUCCUCGACUUUUCUGAAUCAUAUUAACGUAGUGGAUUGUUUUUUUCGGUUUUCAAAAUAAUCAAAAAACAUUAAUUUUUUUAUGUGAGAUGCUCAUUUAUUUGAAUUCGGCGUGUUUGAAUUGGAGGCAGGAUGAAAUAUGGGGCAAUGAACCAAGCACCUCCAACUGGAUUUUGUUAUAUACCGAGAACCUGUCAGUACUACAUUCUCCAUAUUCAAGUUCCACAAAUCGUGCUCAAGAAUUUGAUUCCUCAGCCUGCGCCAAGGUGAAUUUUUUCAUCAUUAUCAACCAUGUUCUCCAUUUAUCUUUUUGGCUAACAGUUAGUAAUAUGUUAUGCAAGCCUUGCAAUCUAGUUACAUACGGGAUAUUUUGUAUAUAAGACGUUUGCAGUUGCUAACAAUGUGCUAAGUUUAAAGAAUAAGCCUUAAAACUGCAGAGUAUUCUUAUAUGUUUCUGAAUGAUGUUAGCUUCUUAGCAAAUAAUUGUUUGGCUAACAGUAGAAUGUGGUUGGAUGUAUGAAGAUCUACUGUAUUUCAAUGUUAUGGUGCACUUAUAACAUAAUGAUAUUUAUAUAUGCCAAUUCAAUGAUUUAUUUGUGCAUGGAACUGGAUGCUUGAUAUGGUGUAGGGUGGAAUUUCGGGUGUUGAAGCAAGUGGAAAGCAAAAUUUGUCUCCAAAUUCAUGUUCAAGUUCACCGAAUCGUGCUCAAGAGUGUGGUGCUUUUGUCCAUAAUGAGGUGGGAUUACUUCUUUUUUCCUUUUGCUUCUUUUCCACCAAUUGAUUUCAACCAAAAAUUAUUUGUGGGGUUAGUUUGAGACCCAUUUGAUGGUGUGAUCCAUUGUGUUCAGAGAUCCUUUUCUUUAACUGUUUAUCAGUUUUCAUUAAUGAUAUGGUUUGCUUCAAAAGUUUUCACUUGAGAAGGAUUUUGGAUAUUACAGUUCCUCAACAUGUUCUGUUCUACUUGUAUUCUAUGAGGCUUGACCCCUUGUCCUUUGGAUCUUUGCGACUUUAGUGUAGGACCUUGGAGACUAAUCUCGUAUUUUUUAUCUCGUAUGGUCAUGUAUUUAUCUUUUUAUAUGUCCUGGUUAAGUGUCUAAAAGCAUAUUGAACCUUAGAAUUGAUUUAAAAGAUUCUUGUGCAUGGAUAUUUCAGUUAAUUUCUUUUCUCUUGUUAUAGGCUACCACAUCAACAGGUCUUCGCUCUGAUUUGAUUCAUUACUUUGUUCGAAUGGGAUUCUCCAAGAGCAUGGUGGUGAAAGCAAUUGAUGAGAAUGGUAAAAUCAAGUUCAUGGACUCAGUUUGGAAUAUUUUUCCUUUAUAAUUUACUUGAUCCUUCUCUUUUUGUGCUCAUGUUACAUGUAGGAGAAAGCAAUCUGGAAGUUAUACUGGAAACUCUUCUCACAGUCUCAGUGAGUCCAUAUAUCUUACCCCAAGUUCAGCAAUCACAUAUUUGAAAUUGUGGAGAUCUUACAGUUGAAAGUUGAAACGAUGCAUUCCCCUUACAGCAUUUUAUAAUCUAGUGCAUGUUGUUGACUUGUCGGUUGUAGUAGGUUACUUGCCCUGUUUAUACCAAAUAUACCAUGCCUUCACUCUUUGUUUGAGCUGCCUUUUUUUUUUGGUUAAGCACUUAUUCACCCCUAUAUGGCUGUCAACACCCAACAAAUCCUGUUCUUUUAGAAAGCUCGUAUAUCGGACAUUAACCCAAUUCUAUUCAUAGUUUAAACCAUUCUUUGUCAGCAGCUGCUUCUGUGGCCAUAACAAUAUAUAACUUCACAUUCAGCCUCAAAAUUAGUAACUGUGCCUAAACCUUUAAACAUUGCA